GACGAACGCUGGCGGCGUGCCUAAUACAUGCAGGUAGAACGCACAGUUUAUACCGUAGCUUGCUACACCAUAGACUGUGAGUUGCGAACGGGUGAGUAACGCGUAGGUAACCUGCCUGGUAGCGGGGGAUAACUAUUGGAAACGAUAGCUAAUACCGCACAAUAUUAAUUAUUGCAUGAUAAUUGAUUGAAAGAUGCAACUGCAUCACUACCAGAUGGACCUGCGUUGUAUUAGCUAGUAGGUGAGGUAACGGCUCACCUAGGCGACGAUACAUAGCCGACCUGAGAGGGUGAUCGGCCACACUGGGACUGAGACAAGGCCCAGACGCCUACGGGAGGCAGCAGUAGGGAAUCUUCGGCAAUGGACGAAAGUCUGACCGAGCAACGCCGCGUGAGUGAAGAAGGUUUUCGGAUCGUAAAGCUCUGUUGUAAGAGAAGAACGGGUGUGAGAGUGGAAAGUUCACACUGUGACGGUAUCUUACCAGAAAGGGACGGCUAACUACGUG
rnacentral:rRNA from 1 species